AGCUUGGUGGCGUAAUGGUAACACGUUCUGUGUUGGUUUACAGCAUUUCAUACUCUCAAAACAGAAAGUCCGGAGUUCGAUUCUCUGUCAGGCCA